rfam:Nicotiana sylvestris Nsyl_contig110518, whole genome shotgun sequence.
AUUCGUUGGAUGAACGUGAGGCAUUGGAUUGAUUUCGUUCAAUCCGAGCCCCACAGUCAUCCGGGGUUCGU